GUCACCCUCCAGCUAGCGAGGCCCGAGGCUGAUUCCGAAGGACACGUGGACCCCGGAAGUGGAGAGAAGCUUGCAGGCCCGCAGCACCGUCGUGCGGCUGCCCACCGGCCCCAGGUGUGAUGCUGCAGGUGGAGGAGGCGCGGGCCUCCUGCCGGGGAUGCGCGCAUGAGUGUCCCGGGGACCAGAUGAACCGGCUCGGAUGCGGAGAAAACAUUCCGGAGCCCGACUGCCCGCGGACAGAUCUUGGCUCACUGUCUUAAAAGUCUUGGCUAUUACUCUUGAAGUUGAAGUUAGCCAGCAAUUACUUAAUUUGGAAAAUAACAUGAAGAACGAUACCAAUUUUUAACUCACUAGCAGCUGUCUAUUUCAGUUGGAAAGAAAGCAAAUGGGAAAUACUACCCUGUAUCCUGGCAGGCUACAGAACUUGGGCCUCAUUGUGCUCACCAAGAAUUAGACCAAGGCCAGAUGUAGAACUUGGAGAAGUGCCUUCCAGAAAAGAGUUCCAGCCUCAGCAAGAAUUAUGAGUCAGUGGAGUAGGAUGCCAGAUUUGAGGGUGCCCCCAUAGACUCCAGAAUGCACACCACUAAUUGCUUCUCUAGACUUUCUCUCCAUCUGAAAUACUGCCAAGGGGAGCCAGCGCCAUUUCUGAGUCAUUUUUUAUAAUGGAAAUGACAUUGAGAGGGGUCGUUUAGUUCAGUUUAAAACGUUGUAUUGCAUACCUUCUAGAAGCUUCAUUGUAUUAAAAACCACAAAUGGGAGUUUCCAUUUUCAAGGAGCUCUGCACUGGGAUAGGGAACUCACACUAAGUCAAAAACACCUUCAGUGAGUGUCAGUCACAUUACCUUUUUUAAACCAGAAAAGUGUGAGCUCAGUAAGCACCUCCAAGGGGGCAAAGAGGAAGCAAAGCUCCUCUUCAUGGAAGGCUUUUGGGCCUGGCUGGAGAGUAGGGCUCCAGAUGCUGAUGGCUGCACUAUCCACCAGCUGAGCAGACUUGAUAAGGUCAGUGAAAACCCUAAACACUGCUUCCUUCUCAGAAAACAGGAAAAAGAACAGCCAUCUUAUAAAGCAGUUGCUAGAUGCGCACAGAUAGGUGACAUUCAAUGAACAAUCUCCAGUCACCUCUGACCCCCACUGCAUAUGACCCUUCACUCCUCCCACUCACCUAGCAGUUUGUCCAGGAACAGCUCUAACCACAUCUAUACAAAUGACUAGAAUAGAGAAGAUUUGGAAAGUGGAAUUCUUUCAUCUGUGUGUAGAGAAGGUAAAAAAAAAAAAAAAAUUUCAAUGUGAUUAUUUUAUAACCAAUAAUGGUAAUAUGCUUUCUCAUAAUUUAGGUA